CCUACGGGUGGCAGCAGUAGGGAAUAUUGCGCAAUGGGGGAAAGCCUGAUGCAGCGACGCCGCGUGAGUGAAGAAGUAUUUCGGUAUGUAAAGCUCUAUCAGCAGGGAAGAAACUGACGGUUACUGAUUGAGAAACCCCGGCUAACUACGUUCCAGCAGACGCCGUAAUACGUAGGGGGCAAGCGUUAUCCGGAAUUACUGGGUGUAAAGGGAGCGUAGACGGCAGCACAAGUCUGGUGCGAAAUGCCGGGGCUUAAACCCGGAACUGCUUUGGAAACUGUGCAGCUAGAGUGCAGGAGAGGUAAGGGGAAUUCCUAGUGUAGCGGUGAAAUGCGUAGAUAUUAGGAGGAACACCAGUGGCGAAGGCGGUUUACUGGACUGUAACUGACGUUGAGGAACGAAAGCGUGGGGAGCAAACAGGAUUAGAUACCCGUGUAGUC
rnacentral:rRNA from 1 species